CAUCUGCAUUUCUCAUCAUCAGCUUCUGAUUCAUUGGUUGAUAUAAAUCUAUGCAGAUAUUUUUAUGGAUGUUUAAAAUGCUCUUUUGGUCCUGCUGGAAUUAUUCCCAUCGCAUCCAGAAGUCCCAUAGGCAGCCACUGGGAGAAGUUUCGGGGAGGAUUUCCGAGGCGGCCUGGACAACGGAAUCCUGUUGUGCGAGUUGCUCAGUUCGAUUAAGCCAGGUCUUGUGAAGAAGAUCAACAGGUUACCUACUCCUCUAGCUGGAC